CUUUUAAGAAAUUAAGCUAACUACUCUUAUGUGAACAUUGGCUUCUUAUAACUACACUUUGAAGCUUCUGCACUCAUUUCGUGUUAGGAUUAGCUAUGGUUUGUGCAAUAAUGCUUGAUUUGUUUCGUGUGCUUUUUGUGUAGUUGUUGGUGACAGCGUGGUGUUUCCUACAGCGAAAUCGAAGGGGCUGAGGACAUCGGCUUUUCUUCGAGUUUUGAAGUAUUCUAUGGGAGGAGUACUUGAACCUGCAAAACUAUACAAGCUAAAGCACCUCUCAAAAGUGGAAGAAUUUUGUGCAUAUCUAUCAAAUGCUUAGGGUUCUGAGUUAAAAAUAUGGAGAGCAAGAGAAAAUUCAAAAGAUGUUCUUCAAGGUACCUAUGAAAAAGCCAGAAAUUUUGGAAGAAGUUUAGAAUUUUAUUAUGUUGCAUGCCUCUCAAUUCUAAAGGAAAAGACUUCGUCAAUGCUAAAAACAAACAACUUCAAGGAAGAAAUGUUACAAAUAAUAUGGUUAGACACCAACGAGCAUGGGAACUUUGCAGCAUGACCUGGAACGGGGAUUCAAGUCGCAGUGAAAAUCCUCAAUCCAAAUGGAUUUCAGGGUCACAAGGAAUGGCUUGUAUGUGACCAUUCUAAACUUGAUUAUAUUUCUUUAUCUUUAAUUCUAACAAUUUAUUUAAUUUUCACCAUUUUUUAGGUAAAACUAUAAAUGACAUUCACAUUAGUUCAGACAAAUUUGUUGUGAGGCUUUGAAUAUUCUUGAAAGUUUUGGUUUCCCUUGCCUUAAAGCCUCUUUAGGUUGCCUUAUGUUUAACCUUGAGGAGGUGCAUUUACUCUCUGGUUGUAAUGGCUGUGUUUGCUGGAAGCAUGGUUCAUUUGUUUAGUUUUCUUUGUUCCUUUGUCAAGGCAAGGCAAUUUAUGCAUUAGUCUA